GAGCUUACGUCAUCCCUCUCAUGAGCGCGCGUCACAGAGAUGUACGGAAGCGAACAUUUGUAGUUAAAAAGGAGGAGGCCUGAAAUGAAAUCCUAAAAAUCUUAAAUUCUGUUUUGAUGAAGAAAGAAACUCAGAUACAUCUGUGAUGGCCUGAGGGUGGCAGUUGGGGAAGAGCCAGCUGAGAGGACUGGUCCUUGAACUCAACAGUGGGGUCCAUGCGCCGCUGCAGAACCUUCUGAAAAAGAUCAUCCCGGAAGUUUUGUGUUGUUGGUUCAUGGGGCGUGCCUAAAAAAAAGACAACGAAAAUGAUAAACAUUUAUUAGACAUAUUUGCAAGCUAGAUUAAAUCAUUAUUUGACUAUU